rnacentral:rRNA from 1 species
UACAGAGGUCUCGAGCGUUGUUCGGAUUCAUUGGGCGUAAAGGGCGCGUAGGCGGCGGGGUAAGUCUGGUGUGAAAUCUAGGAGCUCAACUCCUAAACUGCACUGGAUACUGCUCUGCUAGAGGACUGGAGAGGAGACUGGAAUUCACGGUGUAGCAGUGAAAUGCGUAGAUAUCGUGAGGAAGACCAGUGGCGAAGGCGGGUCUCUGGACAGUUCCUGACGCUGAGGCGCGAAGGCCAGGGGAGCAAAGCAGGAUU